rnacentral:rRNA from 1 species
UUAGCGGCGGACGGGUGAGUAACACGUGGGUAAUCUGCCUUAUACAGGGGGAUAACAGUUAGAAAUGACUGCUAAUACCGCAUAAGCGCACGGGGACGCAUGUUUCUGUGUGAAAAACUCCGGUAGUAUAAGAUGAGCCCGCGUCUGAUUAGCUGGUUGGUGGGGUAACGGCCUACCAAGGCGACGAUCAGUAGCCGGCCUGAGAGGGUGAACGGCCACAUUGGGACUGAGACACGGCCCAAACUCCUACGGGAGGCAGCAG